GAUGAACGCUAGCGGCAGGCCUAAUACAUGCAAGUCGAGGGGUAGAAGAGGCUUGCUUCUUUGAGACCGGCGCACGGGUGCGUAACGCGUAUGCAACCUACCUUCAUCUGGGGGAUAGCCCGGAGAAAUCCGGAUUAAUACCGCAUAAAAUCUCAGGAUGGCAUUAUCCAAUGAUCAAACAUUUAUGGGAUGGAGAUGGGCAUGCGUGUCAUUAGCUAGUUGGCGGGGUAACGGCCCACCAAGGCGACGAUGACUAGGGGAUCUGAGAGGAUGGCACCCCACACUGGUACUGAGACACGGACCAGAAUCCUACGGGAGGCAGCAGUAAGGAAUAUUGGUCAAUGGAGGCAACUCUGAACCAGCCAUGCCGCGUGCAGGAAGACUGCCCUAUGGGUUGUAAACUGCUUUUAUUCGGGAAUAAACCUUAUUACGUGUAAUAAGCUGAAUGUACCGAAGGAAUAAGGAUCGGCUAACUCCGUGCCAGCAGCCGCGGUAA
rnacentral:rRNA from 1 species